GUGGGAUGACGUCAAAUCAUCAUGCCCCUUAUGACCUGGGCUACACACGUGCUACAAUGGGCGGUACAAAGGGUCGCGAACCCGCGAGGGGGAGCGAAUCCCAAAAAGCCGCUCUCAGUUCGGAUUGCAGGCUGCAACUCGCCUGCAUGAAGCCGGAAUCGCUAGUAAUCGCGGAUCAGCAUGCCGCGGUGAAUACGUUCCCGGGCCUU
rnacentral:rRNA from 1 species